UAUCAUACAAGCAUGAUUGUUUAGGCCCUCUGCGUACAUGCAUUCAUUAGACAGAGAUUCGAUCAGAUGAGCUGCAUGAUGAUUGUCUGAAUUAAGUCUGAUGUAACAAUCCCAAUCAGAAACCACAGUGUCACAAUCCCACCAGCCAACCAACCAUGAAAUCACCAUCCCCAUCAAUCAAUCAUAAAUCACAAUUUCACAAUGCCAACGGCCAACCAAUCAUGGACCACAAUAAAGAGAAGAGGAGGGCUGGGAGGAUAGAAGGAAGAUGUAGGGGAUGGAUAGGACUGAUCCUGCCAGUCCUGGGAUAGAUUACCACCAAGUAUAUUUUUUAUUCACAUUUAUCUGAGCAUAGCAGUGGGUUUAAGCCAAAGCUGCUGAUUUUCACCGUGUGCAGGUUUUAUAAACUAAUAUCCUCAUUUUCUAUAUUUUGAAAAAUCGAGCUAAAAAAAUGAAACAUUAUUAGUACAGUCAAUUCCCCCAGUGUGAUUCUUGCAGCCAUUCUGUUUGUAACUUUGAUAAUAAAUUGAUUGCUUUUCACUGCUAGGAAAGAUCAGUCAUCACGGAAGCAAGGUUUUCUUAGCUAUUGUUACAUAUUGAUGCAGAGACACUGGAGAUUUUUUUAUAACUAUACAAAAAGGUCUUUCUGCUGAUGUUUAAUGUCUCCAGCAGGGGAGUGUCAAUCCGUCAAGAAUCGAUUUAGACUCUUUGGUGCUGGGGCGAUCUUUUUGCUAUAUUUUUCCCACCACGCCUCCCCAGGGGGACUGAAACUUGUAAUGCAAACAACGAACACCAUUUUCAAAUGCGCUAAAGUCCCUCAGGAGCGUAACUCCUGUUUUCAAAGUGACGCAGGCACUUCAGAGCCGAAGUCUCCUUGAAAGUCAACGGGCGAGACUCGGUGCUGCUCAGGACAGCGCAGAACUCACAGCUCAGGGGGAGGGAGGGGCCAACAAAGGUUGCUUUUGUUGCCUCCCAGUCCUGGGCCACUCUAGAUAAUGAAGAUAGCCCUGGGACCCUGACUAGUCUACUGCCCUAUGGGCUUCUAUGCUGCCCAGAAGCUCUGCAGCACCACGUGCUGUUGCCAAGCCUAUGUACCAACCCUCUUGCCUCCAGCACACUCCCAAGUGCAGGGCUUGUGAAAGCAGGGCUGUCUUCCUCAGUGCCUGCAUUGGGGGCAAUUUCCCAUGUCUGGAUAUGGGGAUCUGAUGGCCCCUUCCCUCCAGCAUAAAUAGGCCAGUGCAGGGGUGAGGAUCUCACCCAAUUACUACAGGGCCUGGGGCCCUAGGGACAGCCCUGUAGAGACCAGGCCAUAAGCCACAAUGAACCGAAUGCACCGGAGUUCUGCUCAGCUGUGUUUUAUCUUCCACCCAUUUCUGCUGAAACACACAGCCUGCUGACUUGAAAUGACAUGAGAGAUGUUUCAUGCCUGUGUCUGGACAAGUGGCAUCUCCCCUCCAUUUUAAACCAGCACGAAGGCUUUUCAGCUGAGGUCCCAAGAAAAGGACUAUCCAGGACUGACAAUUAAGUACUGCCCACGCGCAGCACUAAUCGUUGCCAUGGCGUCGUUUUCUUUUGGUGACAGUGAUUUCAAUAGGAUGUCUGGCACCAUCAUCCCCAGUUAUAAAUUCAUUCUCUCCUCCCUUCGACUCUUCCUUUCCAAAGUUCACAAAUCUAAACCAGCCUGCUCUGCUAGCAUUGAGAAAUGCAGUGCUGGUAGUAACAACACACGGAAUAACUCCAGCGGUACGGCAGGAAGAGAGAUCUAA